rnacentral:rRNA from 1 species
UACGAAGGGGGCUAGCGUUGUUCGGAUUUACUGGGCGUAAAGCGCACGUAGGCGGAUCUUUAAGUCAGAGGUGAAAUCCCAAGGCUCAACCUUGGAACUGCCUUUGAUACUGGAGAUCUUGAGUCCGGGAGAGGUGAGUGGAACUGCGAGUGUAGAGGUGAAAUUCGUAGAUAUUCGCAAGAACACCAGUGGCGAAGGCGGCUCACUGGCCCGGUACUGACGCUGAGGUGACGAAAGCGUGGGGAGCAAACAGG